ACAGUAAGUUACUACACAGUGUAGUAUAGUAUAGAUUACUAUACUAUACUACAAUAUAGUGUGGGAUUUACUAUAGUAAUUUUCCAGACAUUGUAGUGUACUAUGGUAAAUACUAUAGUAAGUUACUACACAGUAGUAUACUAUAGAUUACUAUACUAUACUACAAUAUAGUGUGGGAUUUACUAUAGUAAUUUUCCAGACAUUGUAGUGCAAUAUGGUAAAUACUAUAGUAAGUCACUACAAAGUGUAGUACAGUAUAGAUUACUAUAGUUAACUAUAAUAUACUUUUUUUAAUAUAUAUUUUCAUUAUUCUGUAAUUUGUCCUAAAAUGAAUAUGUGAAACAUAAGCCAAAUAUUUGUAUUAUGUGGAGAUUUUAUUGUAGAAACAUAAACCACACAUAAAUAUAAAACAUAAUGCACAACAUGCAUAGGCUACAACAGCCAGAAUAUAAUAACAAUGAAAGAGUACAAUUGAAGCCUUACUAACUUUAAAGAUUUUCUAAUGCAGGCAUCUUGAUAAGAAUAAUUGACUCAUCGUGUACGUAGCAAAAGCAUUUGCACAAAAUAUCAUUAGGUUUGCAAAGAAGUAUUUCAUGGGUCUUUCUGAACUUCACAAUUUGCUUAGCAGUAUUCACAUUAGCAAAAUCAUCAUAGAUUCUUAAUUGUCUGGAAUCCUUUUUGAAUCUAAAAAUGUGUAGGUACACCUCUUCACACUUGCAUGCUGAUAAGCAACCACAAUUGAGCUUACAAAGUAGUAUGGAUUUAAUGCUACCAUGCUCUCCGUUUUUUUAGAGCCACACAAGAAUUAUUGCGUUUAAAAUUUGCUGCAUACAUUUCCGUGGUGUAUAAAGUGUGGUGGAUGAAACAUCUCUUGAAUUCUUUGACACUGGCCUCUAUAUAAUUUCCAAAGAGAAUGGACUCCCCCACUGUAAUUACUCUUGUUGUGUAAUUCCCGACAACCCGAGCACCACUACCUACUUUGUAUGAUUUUAACACUAUAUUGUCUUUGUUAACAAGUUUGUUGAAAAGAUCACAGACAUCAUCACUGGCAUUGUUGAAUAAUUCAGUGUGGUGCAUUAGUGUUUUUGUGUUAAAAAAUCUCUUAAAAAUGUGUUCAGGGACUGCCUGUGUACCAUUGAACAUUUCAAGAAGAGUGCCAAUUGUGUCUUCAUAAACAAAUGAAGAGUUGGCCCACAGCGGACCCCACAUGUCAACUGCGUUGCUAAGAUGGGUUAAGCAGUGAACAUUAUAAGAUACAUAACAUUUUCCAUAAAGCUCUUGUACCUCGACAACAAACCGCGUAAAACAAGAGGAAGCAUGCAAAAGAUCAGCUUUUUGGAUAUGAUCCUGGAGGAGUGUGUAGAUGGAGAAGACAAGUAAUAGCCAGUGAUUAUAAUAACCCGGGGGUAAAACUGUUUUCAAAAGAAUGGGGGAAUAAAAUAAAAUAAAUGCCCUCCAUUCAGAUGCCUUCCAAUAGUGUCAACGCCUGCGUGCUUGCGCAAUAGCAUACUGCCCGAGAAGGCAGUAUCGCUGUCAAAUCUGUCCCUGGGAAAACUAUAUCGUUGCACUAGGGUUGCCGCGGUAUUGAUGAAGAAUGGUCGAUAUUCUGACAACGACGACGACGACGACGUAGUAUCGCUGGUAGGUAACUAAAGUUUUAUUACAGAAAUGUCAUCUAUAGGCCUUGUGGAUGAGUUAAAUUAAAAUCGUUGAAAAACUAAACUUCAUUAUGAUUUAAAGGAUCCUCAGUUAAGUCAAUGUAAGAAGAAGAAGAAGUGAAAAAACACAGGUCUUAACGUCUUAAUGGAACUGGAAAAGCAAGGUAUUGGUGCAGUGAUGUACAAAUAUUCACCGUAUGGAAGUGCUUCUUAACAUCAGUGAAUUAUUGUAAUGUGAUGUAGCCUAAUGUUGUCUGUCAUAUUGUACACCAUGGGGUCGCCAACUGGCCUGCUUUGCCUGGCCUGUCAGAUCAUUUUGACUUUUUGCUUUCUGUCAACUUAUUAAGCAUAUUAACAAGAUUAGAUUUGAGUAUUCAUCUCCUGUUCCGCCUGCAUUGUCUACUCGCUCAGGCUCAUCCCCCCUGCUGACCUCUGUUGUACAGUCUUGAUGUAACCCUUAACUCUAUGUACAUCUUCUGUUUGUCAUAGGAUCAGGUCAGCUGAACUCAAUUAAUGAAACCAGGAAUGAAUGCCAUCACCCAUCUUGUGAGCUGUUGAGGGAGAACAACCACAGGCUGCAGAGGGAAAAUGAUUCUCUCAAGGCAAAAAUAGCAACAUUGAAAUCUAAUGCUAUUGUUGAAAACUUUGUUUUUUUUUACACAAGGGUUUUUCUGUUUUACAUGUUAGCUAAAAGGCCAUUAUGAAUCCUUUGCUUAGUGCUGCCAGACGUUUUGCAGGAGAUGGAGGAGUUUCUCCGCUCAGCACCAAGACCAACGACAACACCAAUACCAACACCAACACCAAGACCAAGACCAGAACCAACACUAUCACCAGCACCAACAGCAGUUCCAGCACCAGCAACAGAAGACCCAUCACCAGCUCCAGGUCCAUCAUCAGCAUCAGCAACAGAGGCCCUGGGCCACUCUGUCAUUCCAAAAGGACCUGUGGAGCGCUGCUCCUUCCAAAGCCCCCAGAAGUUCAUAAAUGAUCUCCUACAUGGGAUGUAUACCAGGGAAUAUAUGGCAGGCCAUUCAGUGACUGGCCAGUCAUCCAGCAGCUGCACAGAAGGAAAACCUGGCCUAGCUAAACAGGACCUUGUUGAAAUAACAAAUGCUGCAAAGUUGAAGUUCACCUACGUAACUGAUACGAACAUAAAAGCAUUUAUACGACAAAAGCUGAACAAUGCUGCCAAAUUUCAGAAACAAUAAAUUAUCAACUGUUUAAAGAAAGUUAAACUUUUGUUAUAUAUUUUU